UGUUAAACUCAUGAAAAACUCUUACCGUGUGCUCAAGGAUGUUGGCAGUAUGCAGUUCUGCCACUUGCAAAGAUGAAAAAAGCCCCAGCCUUUUAUUUUAGCACUUGAGUGGAAAAAGCAUGUCUUGUAAGGGUUGUGGGAGCGUUGUGAGAGGACCAUGGGGGUUAGGGAAAUGCUGUGAAGCGCUAAUAUCCUCUUCUCCCAUCCCCAGUCUGCCUGCAAGGUGUAGGGACUCCAUGCCAAAACCGAGCAACAAUCCUGUCCCCAUCCAACCCAUUCUCUUGCUUUCCCUCCUUGUACAAAAGAGAUGGAGCUAGGCACAGGGCAGGCUUUUCUAGGUCAGCCUCUGAGUCGUGUAAAUGUUCUUGUUACCAACAAACCACUGCUGUGUCCAGUGCAGUGCCAAGCAAAACCAGCACAUGUGUCUCGUUGCAGUACCAAUUGCUGAUGGGGGUACGGAUCCAUCUCUGGACUCGUGACCGUGCCUGAAUCAGCCUUGUGGAGGUAGAACUUGUGUUGUGCCUUUCUUGCUGGUGCCCUUUAAGCCCGUCCAGGUCCUGUUAGCUUUGAUUGACUACUGAGCCAGCUUAAGGUGCAUGCCUCCAGGUGAUUAGCCCUCCUAAAAUCCAGAAUGCAUCAGGACAGGCAUUGCUUACCAGCUCCCGAGGCAUAACCUCAGGAAUCUUCAGCUAGGAAUAAUGUCAGAGAGGAGCAUGCGGUAAAUGACAGAGCUGAUGCAUUGGCUUCUCAGCAGCUUCGGUGCUACAAGUGACGUGAAUACUGUGGAGACAGAGUAGAAGCGAGCAGCUCUGGAUAACAUCUUGGGUUCCUUUGCACGUACAUAGAAUAAAGUGCAGCUAGCAAGGCAGAAGACAGGAAGUUACAGAAGAAAAAGAUUGCUCAGAAAAGCAGAAAGGAUGUAGUACGUUAAGCUGGAGGUUUUUAAGAGACUGUAUCCAUCCAGGAUCGAAAGAUAAAGACGACAGUGUGGAGCAGGCUCCAGCUGGACGCUCAAGUGUCUGGCUUUGUCCUCAGGUAACACUUCCACAAGAUGUGUGCUCCAAGAAGUGCCUCUCCUGUCCACCACAGUCUGGCUCAGCUGUGGGGUGGGUAGCAAAGUGGAUAGUUCUGUGGUUAUGUUGUUUAAUGUUACUUUCAUUAUUUUUCAUUAGUUUCCACAUACUUUUUAAGCUCAGGUGCACUCUACCAAAUGUAAUAAAUGUACUCCAAAACUCACUCUCUUGUUCCUCCAUCCCCCAAAUUAAAGCCACUGCUUACACUCGGAGGCAGAAACUGCAGCAGAAUUAGACUUUCCCUGCUUAUCAGGCAUGGAAUGAUAUCACAGCUGGAGAUGGCUGCCCAAUGAAUUGCAACCUCUAAUUAAAAAUAAUAAAUAAAAAUCUAGGCUUGAAGUAUGUAGCUUA
rnacentral:lncRNA from 1 species